rnacentral:rRNA from 1 species
UUUUGCGCAAUGGACGAAAGUCUGACGCAGCGACGCCGCGUGAAGGAAGACGGUUUUCGGAUUGUAAACUUCUGUUAAGUGGGAAGAAAUACGCCUGGUUAAUACCCAGGUGGGCUGACGGUACCACUAGAGAAAGCACCGGCAAACUUCGUGCCAGCAGCCGCGGUAAUACGAAGGGUGCAAGCGUUAUUCGGAGUGACUGGGCGUAAAGAGCGCGUAGGCGGUCUUUUAAGUCGCGUGUUAAAUUCCACAGCUUAACUGUGGGUCAGCAUGCGAAACUGAAAGACUAGAGGGUAAGAGAGAGCAGUGGAAUUCUCGGAGUAGCGGUAAAUGCGUAGAUCUCGAGAGGAACACCGGUAGCGAAGGCGGCUGCUUGGCUUAUCCCUGACGCUGAGCGCGAAG